rnacentral:rRNA from 1 species
AUUGAACGCUGGCGGCAGGCCUAACACAUGCAAGUCGAGCGGAGCGGCGGACGGGUGAGUAAUACCUAGGAAUCUGCCUGGUAGUGGGGGAUAACGUUCGGAAACGGACGCUAAUACCGCAUACUAUCAGAUGAGCCUAGGUCGGAUGAGCUAGUUGGUGAGGUAAUGGCUUACCAAGGCUACGAUCCGUAACUGGUCUGAGAGGAUGAUCAGUCACACGGGAACUGAGACACGGUCCAGACUCCUACGGGAGUCAGCAGUGGGGAAUAUUGGACAAUGGGCGAAAGCCUGAUCCAGCCAUGCCGCGUGUGUGAAGAAGGUCUUCGGAUUGUAAAGCACUUUAAGUUGGGAGGCGUUACCAACAGAAUAAGCACCGGCUAACUCCGUGCCAGCAGCCGCGGUAAUAC